UACGGGGGGGGCAAGCGUUGUUCGGAAUUACUGGGCGUAAAGGGCGUGUAGGCGGCCAACUAAGUCCGACGUGAAAUCCCCAGGCUUAACCUGGGAACUGCGUCGGAUACUGGAUGGCUUGAAUCCGGGAGAGGGAUGCGGAAUUCCAGGUGUAGCGGUGAAAUGCGUAGAUAUGUGGAGGAACACCGAUGGCGAAGGCAGCCCCCUGGGUUAACACUGACGCUCAUGCACGAAAGCGUGGGGAGCAAACAGG
rnacentral:rRNA from 1 species